GCUGGGCAUUGUGGCGGGUGCCUGUAGUCCAAGCUACUGUGGAGGCUGGGGCAAGAGGAUCACUUGAGCCCAGAAGUUUGAGGUUGUUGUGAGCUGUGACACCAGGACACUCUAGUCUGGGCAACAGAGUGAGACUCUGUCUCAA
rnacentral:SRP_RNA from 1 species